rnacentral:rRNA from 1 species
GCCGGCGACCGGCGAACGGGUGCGUAAUGCGCAUGCAAUCUACUUUACACUGGGAAUAGCCUCCGAACGGGAAUAAUACCCAUAUAAUCUUAUUAGCGCAUGUUAAAAAGAUAAAAGCUCCGGCGGUGUAAAAUGAGCGUGCGUCCUAUUAGCUAGUUGGAGAGGUAAUGGCUCACCAAGGCUACGAUGGGUAGGGGUUCUUAGUGGAAGGUCCCCCACACUGGCACUGAGAUACGGGCCAG